AGCCCACCCCAUAACCACCAUGAUGUUCUUUGCUAGCUUAUUGGCGUUUGUUUUGGCAUUCGGAACUGAGUUAACCUUCCAUUCUUCUCAUCUCUCUCCUACUUGUGCUGCUCUCCUCCGCACUGCCAUGAUGUUUUCUGGUUCCCUCUGCUUGGCUUCAUUGGCAUCAGUAUUGUUGCCCGAUGCAUUGCGGCCCCUUCUAUAUGCCUUCUAUGCCUUGCUCUCACUUGCUAACUUGCAUAACCUAGUCCGGAAAUGGUAUCACUGGGUUCACCGUACAAUCGUGGACAACCUUGAGACCGUAUUAACAGGAGUUUUUUGGAGCAUCAAAGUACAAGUCUGUCAAGGUCCUAGGUGAUGCCAUUAAGUUUGUUUGAGAGUAUUUCAACAGAAACUGGAGAUCUCUUUGUCAUACACCUGCUUGAUGUUUCUGAUGACAGCAGAUGCUCAGGAUUUGGGCUAAUCAAUAAGGGUUUUGGUUCUAACGGAGAAAGCAAGUCGACCAGGAAAAGCAAAGACAGGAGAAGUCAAGGAAAAGGUUGAGGAGUUGAUCUUAGAGGUUGGAGUUCCAAAAUCACGUUUUUCUUUCUGGUCCCUGAAUCUAGAGAUGGAAUGUAUUUAUUGCUGGACAGGAGAAGUCAAGGAAAAGGUUGAGGAGUUGAUCUUAGAGGUUGGAGUUCCAAAGUCACGUUUUUCUUUCUGGUCCCUGAAUCUAGAGAUGGAAUGUAUUUAUUGCUGACCCAUAACAGAUAAGGCCUUGUGAUGAGUACUGGUGCAAGGGGUUCUUCGUUGGGGAAGAAGAGUGUCAGAACACUCCCUUUAUAUUAAUUCCAAAGACACUAUUUGAAAAUUCCACCUGCAUUCAAGCAUGCAUUUAUAUGAAAUAUGCAUGUACCAUUUGAUUCUUGUUCAUUCUCCUUUGUGAACCAUAGAGGUUCAUUUAGAUGUUGAUGCUGCUGCUGCAAGGAUGGCAUCAAGAAGGGCUUGGAACUAGAUAAUCUUUUUGUCUCAAUGUGGCCAGUUGCCCUUAAUGAUUGGAGCAUCUGCAAAAUCUUGUGUCCAUGGAGACAACAAUGGAAAUUUCUCCUCAUCCCCAACUUUUAAGCCAACGAUCUCUUCCAAUAUGCUAAUCAAGUUAAGUUAGCAAGCCAACCCAAGGCAAGGUCAAGAAACAUGAUCAUCUCUCCACCAAAGGACAUUUUUCCCUUCAACUUUUCUUCCAAGAACUUCAGGAUUCAGUGGACUUUUGAUGAAGGGCAGGUUGACGGUAACAAAGGUGUUGGAAGUAUGAUAUUUGCCUGAAGAGCUUGGCAUACCUGUAGCAAAAAUGGGGAAAAUCUUAAUCUUGCUAAAUAUUUGAGGCACAAAAAUGUUUCAUCAUUCAUGGCCAUUGAGUUGGAAUACCACCAAAGAUAACAUUUGAUCACAGAUGUAGAUCAUCGAAUUCAUCAACCCAUAGCUUUCCUUGGGCAGCAGCUGCACAUAAGCAAGGAAUAAGGUUUCAACUCCCAUUCUUAUUGAUGUACGCAAGAUAAACUUGGCCAAGGUCCUGUGUUGUGAGGUGAGGCACUAUUUCUUAUCUUUUAAAUAUUUACGAAAGCCUAGUUUUUCAGUAAAAAAAAAAGGUGGCAGGUGGAGACGAAGGAGAGAAAAGGAGAAGGGUUCUUCAAUCACUGACUCAAAGAGAAACCUGGGAGAAUUUCCAGAAGCACAAUGACAGAAGAAGCCACCCCAACCCAUAGGCCUUCCGCUUUGAUGAUGCUCCUCCUCUGAACCUCAAUUUUCCUUCGCUUUCCUCAGCUGCCAAACAGGUCAGACCCAUCAAUUUUCCCUCUGUUUUCUCGACUUUUCUUUCCCUCAAAGCCGUGAAUGUCUACCAUUUUUAUUUUUUUUAUUCUCUCAACUCUCUGCAACAAAAAAGAGGAAAAAAUAGGAUUUUUUGGUUGUUUUGUUUGGGGUUUGUGGAGAUUGUUGAUUGCGUUGGUGUCUGGUUUAUUUGAAAGAAAAGGGGAGAAUGUUUGGGGGCGAGAAUUUGAGAUGAGGCUCACUUGCUUGGUUCAGAAAUUUGGGUUUGUCUUUGUACUUGUCUGGCUUCUGAUUGGGGAUUGUUGUGAUAUUGAAUAAUUUGGCAAAUGUGAUGUGGGUUUAUCUGGAAUUUUUUUUA